UGUUGUUGUGGUGUUUUGUUUUUGUGUGUCCAUGUAGGGAUACAUAAUUGUCCAUCUUCUGGCAUAGAAGAACCACAGAAGUCCACAGUUCUGGAGUGAGGAAUUAUCAUAUAUUGUCACCAAAACUAACCAAGUAUUGACAGACAAAGUUUUAAAACACCAUGUAUUUUAUUACUCACUGAGACUGGCAGGAAUAUCUGUUCUGGUAUAGAAUAAAGGACUAUGUUCCUCUUCCCAGCCUUCCCUCCCUUGUUCUCUCUACAGAGGCACACAUUCCACAAUGAGAUGAACUGCAGAGAAAGUUCAAAGAAAGUUCUCUGGAUGUCAAAGAUCAUGAUGCUCUCUUGCAGCAGUCCCUUUGCUGUCUGUUUUUGAUACAGUCAAGAGAAAGAAAAUUGGAGUGGAGAGGAUAGAGUGGUGUGGGGUGUUCUCCUUCUGGCAAUAUCAGCACCA